GGGGUUCCUCUCGGAUUGUCACUGAUUAUUCUUCUCUGGUUGUCUUUGUUUAGCAUGAGAGAUAGAUAGAUAGAAUAGACGAAGCUCAUGGAAACUCUGAUUGUUUUGAGUCUGAGGGGUUGCUGCUGGAGAGGGAGGAAUUUGGAAGCCAUGAUAUAGCAAACCCCCCUUAGAUCUAGCUACUUUCAGAUUUUGAAAAAAGGCACUUCACCGAUCAAAAAAAAUGGCACUUAGUUCACAAUUGGGUGCUGAUGUUAACCAUUAAGCACAUGGUAGACCACCACUCAGUUUUAUCGAAUUGAUAGGUGCACUGCUCAGUUUCGGAAAUUGAGCGGUGCAAUGGCCGGCCACCACUUCGUUCCGCAGAAUGAGUGUGCACUGCUCAGUCCCGGGUACUGAGCGGUGCAAUGGCAGGUCACCGUCAGUUCCUAAAACUGAGAGGUGUAAAGCUAUGUGUCUAAUGGAGAACGUCACACUGAAUGGAACUGAGCAGCUUCCAGACAAAUGAAACUAUUGGAAAACAGGUAAAUGAGCUUCUCUUUUCCUCCUUUUUUUUUUUAUUUUUUUAUUUGUCGUUUUUCUUUCUUAUUUUAUUGAAAUCGAUGUUGGAAGUUUGGUACACAGCAAGGCAGUGAUACUCCCUAUGUAGUUCAGCUACAGCUGCUGGAACAUAGCUAAGUCUGAUUCAUGGGUAACGUUUCAAUGAAAAUAGCCAUAUUUAGCUUUUGUUAUAUUGAUGACUUUGGUACUCUGCUAGUAUAUUUAGGUGCACAUUCUUAACACUCUCAAUGUAUACUUAAAUUGCCCUUAUAUUUCUAGAAUGCCUGAGUUUCUUUUUUGCUUGGUACAUGUCUAUCAUUUUGUUCAAGGUUUCUGCCCCUUCUUCCGAUGACUGUCAGGUCAGUACAUUUUUGCCUUAACAAAGAUAUUUGUUUCUAACUUGAGUGUUGCUUUUGUUUUUGUUUUUUGCAGGUCUUGCCUUUGCAUUCCUAACUCUAACUCUAUGUUUAUUAACACUUAUGAUCAUGUUUAUUAUGUUUUGCAUAAAAUUGUUUCUAAUUUGAUCAUUGGAGUAUCUUUUUUUUUUUUUUUUUUUUUUUUGCAGGUCUUGCCUUUGUAUUCCUAACUCUAACUCCAUGUUUAUUAACCCUAACUCUACUUUUAUUAUGUUUUGCAUAAAAUUGUUUCUACCUUGAGCGUUGGAGUAUCUUUAUAGUUUUUUGCAGGUCUUGGCUUUGUAUUCCUAACUCUAACUCUACAUUUAUUAUGUUUUGCACAAAAUUGUUUCUAACUUGAGCCUUGGAGUGUCUUUAUUGUUUUUUUGCAGGUCUUGACUUUGUAUUCCUGACUCUAACUCUAUGUCUAUUAUGUUUUGCAUAAAAUUGUUUCUAACUUGAGCGUUGGAUUAUGUUUAUUGUUUUUUUGCAGGUCUUGGAUUUGUAUUCCUAACUCCAACUCUAUAUUUAUUACGUUUUGCAUAAAAUUGUUUCUAACUUGAGUGUUGGAGUAUCUUUAUUGUUUAAUGCAGGUCUUGGUUUUGUAUUCCUAACUCUAACUCUACGUUUAUUAUGUUUUGCAUAAAAUUGUUUCUAACUUGAGUGUUGGAGUAUCUUUAUUGUUUUUUGCAGGUCUUGGCUUUGUAUACCUAACUCUAACUCUAUGUUUAUUAUGUUUUGCAUAAAAUUGUUUCUAACUAGAGCCUUGGAGUAUCUUUAUUGUUUUUUGCAGGUCUUGGCUUUGUAUUCCUAACUCUAACUCUAUGUUUAUUAACCUUUAACUCUACGUUUAUUAUGUUUUGCAUACAACUGUUUCUGACUUGAGCGUCGGAGUAUCUUCCUUGUUUUUUUGCAGGUCUUGCCUUUGUAUUCCUAUGGCCAAUUCAAUUAGUAGAGUUGUUGAAAUGGAAUGCUGGUACCUCGCGGGGAACGUCAUCUUUUUGGCUUUUGAUCAGUUUGCCUCUAGGGUAUGUAUGACUUUAAAGGAUACAAAUGAAGACAGAUCAGUCAUGUGAAUCAUAUACUAAUGAGAUCCUCCUCUUCCCUGAAGGAGGCUGCAUUUUAACUCAAAAGGUCUUGUCUGCUUAUUGGGUGGCCACUCGCCAGGGAGAACUUGUAAUAUGGAAUGCUGGUGCCUGGUAGAGAAUUCCUGGCAUUUGACCAGUCUGUUGUCAAGGCUUAACAUGCAAAAGACGUGCCAGGAGAUUUAGCAGGAUGUGAAAAGUGCAAUGAUGCGGUGAGACUUGAUAAGCAUGGUGGUCCGUUGAGAGAUAAAAAUGAACAAUUGGUGGUUCCAGAGGUUCUUUGCCUUGCGUAGUUUUUCCUGAUGAAGCUCCGAGCAACAUUGUGUGUAAGCAGGGUAGUGAAAGUAGAAACGAAUCUGAAGGCAAUGUCACUAAAGAGAUGCAAACUUAUUGGUAAAAUUGAGGAGGAUAUAUCCGCCACGAAUUCUAUUGUGGUACAUGCGAAGCUGACAUCAUGCCUUUCUGCUGCAAUCUCCUUGACUCCAUCAUCAAUAGUGAAUGAGAAUUAGAUGGAAUAGUGGUUGUAAAUUCUGACUGAGGAUGAUGUUGUGCCUGAAGAUAUGGUCCAAAAUUGAUGUUGAGGUGCUUCUCAUGUGCAGGAGAAGGCAGGCCGGAUUUUAAGAAUAUGGACCGUUUUUGUAGAAGUUUUAUGAUGUUUUUGAACAACGCCAAGUUUAUUAUUACGUAGUUACUGUCAUUCUUUCUUUCUUAUAAAGAUGCGAUGUGAUGCGAAUAUAUGUAUGUUUUUUUUUUAGCAGUAAUGUUAAACAUUUUGCUUUGGAGAUUCAACAUGGAGAAUUGAUCUAAAAAA